CUCUCCAUUCCGCCGUAGUCGGGAGCGUGUGGUGUUUGAGCCGCCUGAAACGCUAGUACGACAGAUUUACUUAAAGAUUCACUUAAUCACUUAAAGAUUCACGUCCCUUUUCUCUCAUUGAGAAUAACACCUAAGGCAUUUUGUGUCAGAGCUCUGGAGUUAGAUUUCUUUUCUUUUUUUUACUUUUUUAAAAAAUCUUUUUUCCUUUAAUUUCAUUUUUUCAUUUAUUUUUUAUAACUUUUGAUUUUUUUUUUUCUCAUCACUUGUGGGUUUUUUUCUACUUUUUAUUUUUGGUUAUUGUGGAGUUAGAUUUUCUUGAGUAUGAGUAUGAAUGCAGAAAGUCACUUAACUUCUCUAAAAGACUCAGUUUCUUCUAAAAAGUGAUAAUGAAACACUUCACCGAUGUGAUAACCUUAGAGCCAACUGGGGAAGAAGAGUAGGACGUCCCCAGGAGCACAAAAGUAGAAGGGAGAUUCUACUCUGCAGAGAAAAUGGGAUGCACAAACGCCUGGAGGCAUGAGACUUUAUCUGCUAAGGCUCUCCCAGUAGUUAGCAGUGGCUCCAG
rnacentral:lncRNA from 10 species